GUUUGAUCAAUUACAUCUUAUCCAGUUGUGGUGCGUGAAAUCAAACUCAGUCAAGUUUUUCCGUCUUUGACUUGUACUAAGUUGUACCUUGUACUUAUCAUGUCUUUACAGCAGAGGGUGCUUACUUCUCAAAGAGACCUGCUAAUUAAAUAACAGACCUGUUUAUUUGUUUCCAAGUUUCUAAUUUUACAUAAUUUGAAGCCACAGUACUUGCUUGAGAUGGUAGAAGCGUCACUGAUGCCGAGAAUGAAAGGUACUGAUUUCAACCAUUACGUUUUUCUUUAGAAAUUUUGUUAUUCAGGAAGUUUGACUUAAAGAGUACAGUACCAUAGUUCACUUUAAUUAAUAAGAUGAGAUGAGAUUAUGUUAUGUACUGUAUGAGAAAGUGAGUUGUUUAUGGUUUUUGCUGUAGUGUAAGAGGAGAUAUGUUACUUAUCUAGUGAAUUGUAUGAAUGAAGACGUGUGUUGCUUUAUGUUGUGAAUUGUAUGAAUAAAGACGUGUGUUGCUUAUGUUGUGAAUUGUAUGAAUAAAGACGCGUGUUGCUUAUGUUGUGAAUUGUAUGAAUAAAGACGCGUGUUGCUUAUGUUGUGAAUUGUAAGAAUAAAGAGGUGUAUAGCUUAUGUUGUGAGUUUAUAAAGAGGUGUGAUGUUUAUGUUGUGAGCUGUAUGAAUGAAGAUGUGUGUUGCUUAUGUUGCAAGUUGUACGAAUACGAAGACACGUAUUGCGUAUGUUAUUAGCUGUAUGAAUAUGAAGAAGUGCGUUGCUCAUGCUGUGAGCUGUGCUGUGGGAGUAGGUGUGUCACUUUAAAGUUGUGAGCUGUGUAAUAUGAGGUGUGUUACUUAUGUUGUGAGCUGUACGACAGGAAACGCGUUGCUUGUUUUGUGUAUUACGAGGACUUGUGUUGCUUUAUUUAUGGUGAAAGAAGAAAGGCACACAGAAACACAGUUGUGGCCAUUCAGAUUCAGAACUUGGAAAAGAAGUUUAGUUUAGUAGAGUUUUUCGGCGCUCGCAACUGCAAAAGGUCAUACGAGCGCCAUGGGAAAAGAAAGUCAGACAGAACCAAGAGAGGGAUGAUGAGGAAGUCAGUCCUACCAAUGGUGUCCUCCAACUUUCUACUUUGUUCUGAUGGGCAGGUGAUGGCAAGCCAAACCACGAAGAUUUUGUAAAUGAUACGGGAUACAGAGAAUCCUCAAUAUCUUUUAACUUGAAUGGGACUUACUUUUUUUAUACGUUUAUGAGAACAAGAGAAAACUUGCUUAGUCUGAACAAGGCUACUAAGAGGGUGGUUGGUGGGCGUUCAGGUUUGGUUUGUUUCUUCUGUCAUAGAUCGAACAUCUGUCGUCCUUAUCUCUCUUCCUCCUUUUCUUUGUAUGUUACUCUCAAGUAACAUCUUUAAACUUCCAGACUUAUAUUGCCUAUAUUUGUGUUGCAAGUGCCAUAAAACUCUUAUUUGAAGUAAGAAAGAGAAGUAAGGAACAAGACCGAGAUGGGAGAGUUCUUGCCGAUUAUAAAAGAUUUUGUGUCCAGAAAGGAAAUUGAUUAGAGAUGUCUGUGGAUGCUCAAAUAUGACCUCAAGUCUCACAUUGCUCACAUUCCUUCUAUUUGGUCAUACUGAUAUGUUUAUGUAGGUAUUAUGAAAAAAUAUUAUGUUGUUUACACGAGCAUGUUGACAUGCUAAUGAAAAUGAAAACACCCCUCAUUUGAAAGUCAUGUUGUCAUGCGAGUAUGUGUAUUCAAAACAGGAAGUUACAGUCUAGCACACACAUAGCGAAACUGACAGGACAUGGAAAUCUUUUCAUUUCAUACAAAUUUUGCUAUGUAUGUGUCUGAAAUACGUAGAAUAUACAUGCAUAAUAAAAAAUUUGGGACCUGAAAAUCUGUUUGCUAUGUGUGUGUUAGAUUGUAGAGAAUAAGACUUGGUGUUAUUCAAUACAAACUGUUGUCAAUUGUAAUUUGAAUUAUUAAAAAAAAGUGGGCGUGCUAAAGCCUUCCCUGCAGAACACAAACAUUUUCACCCCCCCCCCCCCCAAAUGUUGCUUAGAAGAAGGCAUCUUGCCUUAAAAAACUGUCUCAAUUCGAGUUCAUUUAAAGCUUUCAGUCCCGGAAGCUUCUAUCUAUUAUCUCAUGGGAUUAACAGUUUGUGCUUCAGUCAUCAUCUUGCAAAGUCACAGGCUUGUGUUCCUCGAGUCAAAUUCAUGUGCAAUAAACACCAAUGUUUGAAAAUGCUUCAAAUAUGUCAUUGUCUGGCAAAGUUCAUCUUAUUAUUGCAUGCUGUCCCCAUUCUCAUUAUCUUACGAAGGUUCUAUUCCCAUUUCUCUCCCCCUCCCCUUCAUAGAAAAUGUUUUCUGUAAAAAAAGCUUCAAUAAAUUUUGUGAAAUGUGAAA